AAUAAACUAAGAGUAGAUCAAACAUUCUUUUUUUUUUUUCUUAUACCUCGGCCCACAUUGUUUCUAAGGCUCUGUCCUUGUAGCAACAUCCUUAUAAGCAGAAUAUUCAUGCCCUAUGUCUCUUCCCACCCUUUUCAGUGUUGUAUUUUUAUGGGGAAAAGCCUUUCAGAGAGCUCUGUACAUCCCAUUGAACCACUGAGUCCACUUGAUCUUGAAUGAGGAUAUGUAACCAGAAGAGUACAAAUGCAGGCUAAGUCAGCCCUUCUAAACACCUUUGAGCCCCUCCCCCUAGGUCUGGAUGGAGGAUACCUUAAAGUGAAAUGACAGACCAGGAGAAUAACAACAACAUCUCAAGUAAUCCCUUUGCUGCUCUUUUUGGCUCCCUGGCUGAUGCCAAGCAGUUUGCAGCAAUCCAAAAAGAGCAGCUGAAGCAGCAAUCUGAUGAACUCCCAGCUAGCCCAGAUGAUUCGGAUAAUAGUGUGUCAGAGAGCCUGGAUGAAUUUGAUUACUCUGUGGCUGAGAUCAGCCGCUCAUUCCGGUCACAGCAAGAGAUAUGUGAGCAACUCAACAUCAAUCACAUGAUCCAAAGGAUCUUCCUCAUUACUCUGGAUAACAGUGAUCCUAGCUUGAAAAGUGGGAAUGGCAUCCCCAGCCGUUGUGUGUAUUUGGAAGAAAUGGCAGUAGAACUGGAAGAUCAAGACUGGCUUGAUAUGAGCAACGUUGAGCAGGCCAUCUUUGCUCGCUUAUUACUUCAAGAUCCAGGAAACCACUUGAUUAACAUGACUUCUUCUACAACAUUAAAUCU
rnacentral:lncRNA from 1 species